UGAUUUUGCACCAUUUCUGACAAGAAGUCUGCUGAAUACUUUGUUUAUUUCCAGUGCUCUACAGACUUCAGAUUCGUCCAGGCGUGACCCACUACCACCUUGUGUUUCAUGCUGGAUUUGGGAUACUGGCUGGGUUUUUCCAUGUCUCUGGUCCACUCCUCCUGCACCUGGUGGAGACCUGGACAAAGAACUCAUGUGUACGACUGAACUCACCUUGUUUGUAUUAAAACUUAAACAUAUUUAAAGACCUUAAAUAUGAAGGUCUUUCUUCAUAUCCACCUUGAUGCUACUUACCUCUCCAAGUGUACUGUGCCAAUGGUCCAUGUCACUUCUCUCUCCUUGGAAGUGCGAGGGGAAUAGAUUUUCCCCUUCUUGACUUCAAAAAUCCAUUUUUGUGUUAAGGUAGGUUAUAAAUUGGACACAGAUAGAUUCUAAGGAAACACUAU
ensembl:lncRNA